GACGGAGGAUGCAAGUGUUAUCCGGAAUCACUGGGCGUAAAGCGUCUGUAGGUGGUUUAAUAAGUCAACUGUUAAAUCUUGAGGCUCAACCUCAAAAUCGCAGUCGAAACUAUUAGGCUAGAGUAUAGUAGGGGUAAAGGGAAGUUUCCAGUGGAGCGGUGAAAUGCGCAGAUAUCAGGAGGAACACCGAUGGCGAAGGCAGGGUCUCUGGGCCACUACUGACGCUGAGAAGCGAAAGCAUGGGGAGCGAACAGG
rnacentral:rRNA from 1 species